rnacentral:rRNA from 1 species
UGGGGAAUAUUGCACAAUGGGCGCAAGCCUGAUGCAGCCAUGCCGCGUGUAUGAAGAAGGCCUUCGGGUUGUAAAGUACUUUCAGCGAGGAGGAAGGUGUUGUGGUUAAUAACCGCAGCAAUUGACGUUACUCGCAGAAGAAGCACCGGCUAACUCCGUGCCAGCAGCCGCGGUAAUACGGAGGGUGCAAGCGUUAAUCGGAAUUACUGGGCGUAAAGCGCACGCAGGCGGUUUGUUAAGUCAGAUGUGAAAUCCCCGG